UGGCGAACGGGUGAGUAACACGUGGGUAACCUGCCCAUCAGAAGGGGAUAACACUUGGAAACAGGUGCUAAUACCGUAUAACACUAUUUUCCGCAUGGAAGAAAGUUGAAAGGCGCUUUUGCGUCACUGAUGGAUGGACCCGCGGUGCAUUAGCUAGUUGGUGAGGUAACGGCUCACCAAGGCAACGAUGCAUAGCCGACCUGAGAGGGUGAUCGGCCACACUGGGACUGAGACACGGCCCAGACUCCUACGGGAGGCAGCAGUAGGGAAUCUUCGGCAAUGGACGAAAGUCUGACCGAGCAACGCCGCGUGAGUGAAGAAGGUUUUCGGAUCGUAAAACUCUGUUGUUAGAGAAGAACAAGGGUGAGAGUAAAACGUUCAUCCCUUGACGUAUCUACCAGA
rnacentral:rRNA from 1 species